rnacentral:rRNA from 1 species
UACGUAGGGUGCAAGCGUUAAUCGGAAUUACUGGGCGUAAAGCGUGCGCAGGCGGUUUUGUAAGUCUGUCGUGAAAGCCCCGGGCUCAACCUGGGAAUUGCGAUGGAGACUGCAAGGCUUGAAUCUGGCAGAGGGGGGUAGAAUUCCACGUGUAGCAGUGAAAUGCGUAGAGAUGUGGGAGGAACACCGAUGGCGAAGGCAGCCCCCUGGGUCAAGAUUGACG